AUGAAUGGCAAUUCCGUUGCUUGGCGUCUUACGGGGUUUUAUGGAGAACCAAGCUGGGAGCUGAAACAUCAAUCUUGGACGGCUAUAAGGGAUCUAAACAAGAAUGCCAAUGGACCCUGGAUAAUCUUAGGGGACUUCAACGAGAUCCUCGUGUCCAGCGAGAAAGAAGGAGGUAAUGUGAGGCCUAAUCAGUAUAUGCAAAAUUUCAGAGAUUGCAUAGAGGAAUGUGAGUUGCAGGAAAUUAUGUACUUGGGAGAUCCAUAUACCUGGAGUCGGGGCGUCAUUAGAGAACGGCUGGACCGGGCUCUGUGUAACGAUGCGUGGGCGAGUAAGUUCCCUUAUGCUGCAGUAAUUCAUGAACAUCAUGUACAUUCAGACCACAGGCCACUACUACUGGACACGAAUUACUUUGAAGCAGCCAUGACACAACAGGCGAGAGGUGGACGUAGGUUUGAGGCAUAUUGGUUGCAAGAGGAGACAGUGGAGGAAAUUGUUAAGUCAGCUUGGCAGCGUGCUAGUACUGCAGGUGUUGGACCCGGUUUGGCUACUCGUACAAAGGCAGUGAAGGACGACCUUGAUCAAUGGGACAGAGAAGUGCUCAAAGGUCCUAAAAAAGAAUUAACAAGCUAA
rnacentral:rRNA from 1 species